UACAGAGGGUGCAAGCGUUGUUCGGAAUUAUUGGGCGUAAAGGGAGUGUAGGCGGUUAUCUAAGUCUUCUGUGAAAUCUACGGGCUUAGCCUGUAACGUGCAGAGGAAACUGGGUGACUAGAGUGUCGGAGAGGAUAGGGGAAUACCCAGUGUAGAGGUGAAAUUCGUAGAGAUUGGGUGGAACACCAGUGGCGAAGGCGCCUGUCUGGCUGACAACUGACGCUGAGACUCGAAAGCAUGGGGAGCAAACAGG
rnacentral:rRNA from 1 species